rnacentral:rRNA from 1 species
GACGAACGCUGGCGGCGUGCUUAACACAUGCAAGUCGAACGGAGUGGCGCACGGGUGAGUAACGCGUAAUCAACCUGCUCUUUAGAGGGGGACAUCAGUUGGAAACGACUGCUAAUACCCCAUACUGAUGGAGGGGAUUGUGUGUGAUUAGCUAGCUGGAGGGGUAACGGCCCACCAAGGCGAAGGUUAGUAGGCGGACGGGGAGGGUGAACGGGCAAAUGGGGACUGGGACACGGCCCAGACGCCUACGGGGGGGAGCAGGAGGGGAUCUGCCGAAAUGGACGAAAGUCUGACGGAGCAACGCCGCGGGAGUGAUGACGGCCAUCGGGUUGUAAAGCUCUGUUAAUCGGGACGCGGUACCGGAAUAGAAAGCCACGGCUAACUACGUGCCAGCAGCCGCGGUAAUAC